rnacentral:rRNA from 1 species
GAUGAACGCUGGCGGCGUGCCUAAUACAUGCAAGUCGAGCGAACAGACGAGGAGCUUGCUCCUUUGACGUUAGCGGCGGACGGGUGAGUAACACGUAGGUAACCUACCUAUAAGACUGGGAUAACUUCGGGAAACCGGAGCUAAUACCGGAUAAUAUUUCGAACCGCAUGGUUCGAUAGUGAAAGAUGGCUUUGCUAUCACUUAUAGAUGGACCUGCGCCGUAUUAGCUAGUUGGUAAGGUAACGGCUUACCAAGGCAACGAUACGUAGCCGACCUGAGAGGGUGAUCGGCCACACUGGAACUGAGACACGGUCCAGACUCCUACGGGAGGCAGCAGUAUGGAAUCUUCCGCAAUGGGCGAAAGCCUGACGGAGCAACGCCGCGUGAGUGAUGAAGGUCUUCGGAUCGUAAAACUCUGUUAUUAGGGAAGAACAAACGUGUAAGUAACUGUGCACGUCUUGACGGUACCUAAUCAGAAAGCCACGGCUAACUACGUG